UGGAAUAUUUCAUUGUAUAUGUAACCCGCAAUUAGUAAAGGACUUUUAUUUUUGCGGGCCCACUUCCUGUGUUGCCCGAACUCUGCUAACUUAUUUAAAGUCCCGCCUCCAGUGCGCAGUAAAAGAUCCUCACCUGUUCCACUGUGAUUGUGGUUUGCUGUUGGCGUUUUCCUCAAGAAUUCCUCCAAAAAUCUUUGAACCCAUUGAUUUGAUUGCUGGAAUCACUGGCAUUGUUUACCUGGACCGUCACCGGGAUUCUGUUAGUGCUGAUUGUGGCUCAGUACGGCCCACUGUCUUCUAAAAGGUCGGGUUUUUUUUUCACCUGUCGGAUUAGAUCCUCAUCUGGAUCGAAAGAUGGCGAGCUAGGAAUGGACUAUGGACUUUAUGAUUUGGAAAUCAAUUUAUUCUGAGUCAAUUCUCAUGUGUCUCAUUGUGUUGUUGUAAUUGUAUGUUGGUUUUUUUUAUUCAAAUCACUUAAUAUAUAUUCACCAAAACUAAAAGCACUGCCUCCUGUUUUUUUCACACCUCAGGCUCCUUAAAAGGCCACUCUUCUGAUGCUGCUUAUGUAGCCGCAGUUAGCUGC